rnacentral:rRNA from 1 species
GACGAACGCUGGCGGCGUGCUUAACACAUGCAAGUCGAACGGAAAGGCCUGCUUUCCCUUGUGGAUUGCGGGUACUCGAGUGGCGAACGGGUGAGUAACACGUGAGUGAUCUGCCCCCAACUUGGGUAUAAGCCUGGGAAACUGGGUCUAAUUCCCGAUAGGACUGCAGGGUGGUGGCUGUGGUGGAACACGAUCUUCUAGUGGAUGGGGAUGAGCUCUCGGCCUAUCAGCUUGUUGGUGGGGUAAUGGCCUACCAAGGCGGCGACGGGUAGCCGGCGUGGGAGGGUCGACGGCCACAUUGGGACUGAGCUACGGCCCAGACUCCUACGGGAGGCAGCAGUGGGGAAUAUUGCACAAUGGGCGGAAGCCUGAUGCAGCGACGCCGCGUGGGGGAUGACGGCCUUCGGGUUGUAAACUCCUUUCGACCGCGAGGAAGCCACCUGGUUGGAAGGGUGGUGACGGUAGUGGUAGAAGAAGCACCGGCUAACUACGUG